GCGGGUGUAGUUCAAUGGUAGAACGGGAGCUUCCCAAGCUCUCAGCGUGGGUUCGAUUCCCAUCACCCGCU
rfam:Gammaproteobacteria bacterium RIFCSPHIGHO2_12_FTLL_37_34 rifcsphigho2_12_scaffold_15911, whole genome shotgun sequence.